GACGAACGCUGGCGGCGUGCCUAAUACAUGCAAGUAGAACGCUGAAGAGAGGAGCUUGCUCUUCUUGGAUGAGUUGCGAACGGGUGAGUAACGCGUAGGUAACCUGCCUUGUAGCGGGGGAUAACUAUUGGAAACGAUAGCUAAUACCGCAUAACAAUGGAUGACACAUGUCAUUUAUUUGAAAGGGGCAAUUGCUCCACUACAAGAUGGACCUGCGUUGUAUUAGCUAGUAGGUGAGGUAAUGGCUCACCUAGGCGACGAUACAUAGCCGACCUGAGAGGGGGAACGGCCACACUGGGACUGAGACACGGCCCAGACUCCUACGGGAGGCAGCAGGAGGGAAUCUUCGGCAAUGGGGGCAACCCUGACCGAGCAACGCCGCGGGAGUGAAGAAGGGUUUCGGAUCGUAAAGCUCGGUUGUAAGUCAAGAACGGGUGUGAGAGUGGAAAGUUCACACUGUGACGGUAGCUUACCAGAAAGGGACGGCUAACUACGUG
rnacentral:rRNA from 1 species